AAGGAAGUCUCAAGGUUUUGUUUGCCUGAGAUAGUGUGGUCUACAGCUUAUCAUGAGAUACUCUAUCUACCUAGAGUUUUCAUCUGUAUUUUUCGUAGCUGUCUACAUAAGUGGCUAAUGCAAAGCACUUGACAAAAAGCCUUAUUUAGUUUGAGACAUGUUAUUGCAGAAUACAUUUUUUUUUUUUGUUACCUUUAUUUAACUAGACAAGUUACGCGAAUGCAGCAAGAAGCCAAGAUAUGAAGGCUCCAGCUACCCAAAAUGAUGGGACAGACUCUUCAAACACACAGCUACUUGAAGACCUCCAAGACCAGUUGUUCUCCCUGAAGGAACAGAUGGAUCUCUGCAACACUGUUCUGAAGGACUUGGUGGACCUGCGGGGUAUUUUAAGGGAGAAGAACCUUGGCGAUGGAUCAUUCCCUGCUCCGACGUGACUGAUUUUACUCAUGGUGGAAAUGUGAAUAAUUUUGUAUGUCAAAUAAACUAUCAUGGAUCACGUAACUUCUUCGCUUGGGCAAAAAUUGGGAGACCUGUCAUAAGAUUUAUUUAGUAUUAUAUUGCUCUCAAUUCAAAAAGUAAUUACUUUAUUAUACAAUACUACUUUAUACAAAACAAGCAUAAGCAAACCAAUUUCACAUGAUACAUUCUUUUAAAAAUAGAAAUCCUUUACAACUUCAUUCUUUGGGUGUUGAAGACAUUCCUUUGGAAGCAUUACGUUUCCCCCUCGUUUUACCCAUUGAGUGUUCAAAUGAACAGAAUUCCAAAAUACAAACUGUGCUUUCUUCAAAGUGGCACUUUUUCAAAAACUCCAAAACAACUCCCAGUGUUUUGCACCUAUGAACUCACCAUUCCAAGCAUCUGACCAUUGGCUAGAAAAAAGGACAAAAAUCCCCAUUUGAGCCGUUAUUCGCCAGACAAUUUAACCUAAAGGUAAGCGGUUAAGUGUAUAAUAAAUUCCAUAAAGGCUGAACUUGCCAGAAGACUCAACCCUUGUUUACACAGAUCUACUGGGGUCAGAACCAUGGUUACAUUUAAGUCAUUGAGCAGACACUCAUAUCCAGAGUGACUUACAAUAGCAAAUAGGGUUAAGUGCCUUGCUCAAGGGCACAGACAGAUUUUUCACCUGGCAGGCUUGGGGAUUUGAUUCAGCGACCUUUCGGUUACUGGCCCGACACCCUUAACCGCUAGGCUACCUGCUGUCCUGGACACCGUGGAGCCGGCGUGAGAUAUGGGUCAGAAAAGUACCUCUGGGAUAUUCCACUGUACUCAAUUUUACCUUAACACAGAUCCAUCCCUGAAAACUAUAAUUUUUGUGCUCUUGCUAGCUAGCAGUAUUCACCACAGCCAUUUUGGAAUGGCAGUGUCAGCCAAUCAGCUUCUUUGUUCAAUGUGACGUGCCCUUGAUCACUAGCUGCCAGACAGAGACCCUGCCAUUUCCCUUCUCAAAAUGUGAUUUUAAACCUAAUCACACUGCCUACCUUAAAUUUAGAAAAGCUAAUUUUUGUUUUCAUGAAUUCAGUCAUAAACCCCACCUAUUUCUCUCAUGUGAUUUUAAACCUAAUCUUAUGCCUAACCCUUAAAUUAAGAACGCUUGUUUUCAUGACGUUUUACAAUAUAGCCAAUUUUGACUUUGUGGUUAUGGUAACUAGUGGAUAUCUGUGCCAUUCCAUAAUGGCUGCUGCUAGCUAACAUGAGGACGAAAAGGGCAGCUUUUUGGAGUACAGUGGCAUAUCCCAUCCCUGCAUUGAAAUAACUUCUCCCACCCUUCUCGCUCCAGUGUCUUAAUGUAACCAUGAUUGCGUUUUGAGCUCAGUGUAAACAAGCGUAACAGUAGGGUCAGUAUCUUCUAGCAAAGUUAGAACCAGCACUUUCAAUUCUAACAA
rnacentral:lncRNA from 1 species